rnacentral:tRNA from 1 species
UCCCCUGUAGCUCAGUUGGCUAGAGCGUCGUAAGUUCCCACUCAAGUGGCUCAGCGCAUUGUAACAUGAUUACUAAUUCCUCCUAAAGAGACUGUUAAUCUGAAGGUCGCAAGUUCAAACCUUGCCGGGGGAG